CAGGAGGGUGGUGUCUAUCGCAGCUUGUUCUGAACAGUCAGAUACAAGAUCUGUGAUAAGGUUGAUGCCAUGCCCAACUGUGUUGUCAUGGCUUUGCUGCUUUCCAGGGAAGGGUAACAGGGGUAUUCAAGAUCACUAAAUCCUGAAUAAAAUGGAGAGAUUUAUAUGGCUUCAUAUUGAGAGGAGCACUGUCGGUGAUGUCUGCAAUGCCUGAUUUAGCAAGCCAUGAAGAAGAGCAACAAUGCCUGAUUUAGCAAGUCAUGAAGAAGAGCAACCAUUUUUUGGAGCAUGUUAUUCUAAACUUUCUAAUUUAUCAGGCUGGAAUAUUCGUAGUGUAAUAUUCUGAACUUCCUAGUGUAUUUUGGAGACCAUGGAUUUACUGAUGCAGUGAUAUUCCUGUGUUGCUUGUACAUACA